UUACCUUUGGGGCAGGAUCAUUAUACGUACAGACUGCUCCACACAGGGUAGUCUCCAAGGUUCACUUCAUUGUAGUGGCAUACUAACCCCGGUACAGUGACUGGACUUUAUCAGCACCAACCUGAUGCAGUACAAGUGAGAGUGCUCCUCUCACUACCCACAUUCAUCACCCUGGGACACAUCUCCCGAAUAUGCUGGGGAGCUCACCUACACAACAACAAGGUUCAGGACAAAUGGCCUUCCACAGAAAUGACCUUCCAUAUCACUCUUUUGGGGCUAAGGGCUGUCAGGAGUGUCUGUGCACAAACUCUGCCUUUCAU